rnacentral:rRNA from 1 species
GAUUUCUGGUUCGAUGCGUUUGGCCCUCUCGGAGCAAUCCGGCGUGCGUGCCGAUGCGCGUCUGCCAUCCCUUGUAGAGAACGUUUCUACCCUUCACUGGGCCGGAUUCGCAAUCUACAUCUUUUACUUUGAAAAAAUUAGAGUGUUUAAAGCAGGCUUACGCCGUGAAUACAUUAGCAUGGAAUAAUAAUAUAGGACUUUGGUUCUAUUUUGUUGGUUUCUAGGACUAAAGUAAUGAUUGAUAGGGAUAGUUGGGGGUGCUAGUAUUCAGAGGCCAGAGGUGAAAUUCUUGGAUUCUCUGAAGACUAACUACUGCGAAAGCAUU